CAAGAUUUUUUCAAAGCUGCUGUGUGGACGUACCGUGACUCUCCAAAGCCAACCGGAAACACAUGAUGGGCACAAACAACCAAACUACUGCGAAUAUCUCUGCAGCUGAAAUGGUCUGUGCGACACAGGAACAUUCUUCAGUGAUCCAAGAGGGUUCAACCAUCAUCCCUCAAAUGGUUGGGUUUCAAGAAGGUCGAGAGGGUCAUGUGAACAUGGACCUUUUCAAACAAGCAACUGCAUUUCUUCUCCAAGAAACCCAUCGACUAACACAGAGCUGUCAACCACAUGGUGAAUGGAGUACAGCAAUAUCAGGCGUCAUUAUUGGAGCAC